GCCUUCUAAGGGGCUUGUGUCUUGUUUUCUGAAGGACGAUAAACCCUACUUUCACUGAGAAAGGUAUUGGAUCGGUAGAGAGAAUCGACGACAAAGAAAAUGGGAGGGAAAUUAUUUGUUCUUCGGCAGGCCUUCAAUUUCCGAUCAGUUUCAUCUCUGAAAAACAAUGUAACUUUGAUUCCACAUGCCAAUCCUCCAAUUCGCAGCACGCCAACCUCAAUCUUCUCUCAGAUUUCAAGAACCUUGUGUUCCUCAUCCUCAGUUUCAUCGGAUACGAGACAACCAUCUCUAUCGAGGCUUCCGUUUGUGGAUGCAUUCUUGGCAAAGGCGAAGAACAAUAAAAGUCUUUUAUCAAACAGGAAGAUUUAUUCGCGUAGAUCUACCAUUUUGCCCGAAUUCGUUGAUCAAACUGUACGGAUUUACAAUGGGAAAAAUUUUGUUCGCUGCAAGAUCACUGAAGGCAAGGUUGGUCAUAAGUUUGGCGAGUUUGCCUUAACUCGUAAAAGAAAACAUUUGAGGAGCAAGGCUGAGCCUGCAAAAAAGAAGGUCAAAAAAUAAGCAUUUGCAACCAAAGAUCACAUCUCAUUUCGAGAGAGUGGUGAUUCAGGAGAAAUAUGGGCUGAAAGGAAAGCAAUGAAACAAGGAAGAAAAUGGUUUUGAAGUCUCAUUUCUUUUGUUAAAUGAUUGUAGGAUUUUGUUUGGUCAGCUCUUGGCCUGCACAAUUGUUAUGAAAAUUUGAUGUUUUUAGUUAUCCUUACAUAUGGUAUACUGAUUUGAACUCAGAAUUAUCAGUUGACAAACAACGGUUGGAUUUUAGUUUUACAAUAAAAUUGUUGAAUUGAGAUAUUGUAAGCGAGUUUUAUUUGAAUACAACGACGAAGGUGAAGGUGGCAUCAAAAUGUUGCCAUCCAGCUCUUUAUCU